CAAUAGCGUAUAUUAAAGUUGUUGCAGUUAAAAAGCUCGUAGCUGGAUUUCUGAUCGAGACAUCAGGUCGGGUCCGAGAGGAUCAUGUACUUUGAUUUUGUUUUGAUCAUCCUUGGGGAGAGCAUUUCUGGCAUUCAGUUGUCGGGAUUGGGAUCCUCAUCGUUUACUGUGAAAAAAUUAGAGUGUUCAAAGCAGGCCUCGGCCUCUGAAUACAUUAGCAUGGAAUAAUAAGAUAGGACUUUGGUGGUCUAUUUUGUUGGUUUGCACGCCAAAGUAAUGAUUAAUAGGGAUAGUUGGGGGUAUUCGUAUUCAAUUGUCAGAGGUGAAAUUCUUGGAUUUAUGGAAGACGAACUACUGCGAAAGCAUUUACCAAGGAUGUUUUCAUUAA
rnacentral:rRNA from 1 species